rnacentral:lncRNA from 1 species
GAUGAAGUGGACUCUGUUAUUUGUGUCUUUCUUUACAAGUGAGGAAAUAUUCAGUCAGUGUGCUGGAAAGUUCUACAGAUUUCGCCAUCAGACUAUCCAUUCCUAUUCUUGAAAAAUCUGCAGUGCUGGAGUUAUUUGCAAUUCCCCCCCGCCAAUCUUUAAAUAAUUGUCUCAGAGAUAUAGAUAGAUAUAGAUUGCCCACGGGUGAUUUUUUUAAUCCCGGUUACCACUUGUAAUAAAAGAGGUUGAAUUUUGGAGAGAAUUGAUAUUUAAAUUGCAUGUUUUUUUUUCUGUAUUAUAAUUAUGCACAUUGAUUUAGUUUUAAAAUUAGUGAGGUUGGAAUGUUAGUAUUUUGAUUUGAAAUCUGGGAUCUUUGGAGGUGAUUUAAGAUUAUGGUUUGGUAAGAGAAUCUUCAUUUUCUCUCUGGGCUAAAGAGUAAUUGGGAGAGUCGUUUAAAUUGUGGAAAAUUGCUUUAAAUUUCCAUUAUUGGUUUUAUUUCUGUUACAGAUAAGAACUCCAUUUUCUGUUGAUGUGGAGACAUAGGGUACCUCCAACUUUCCGGGGUUUCAGAAGAGAAUUUUUUAUUGAA